CCCCUUGGAGCCUGAGGCCAUCCCAAAAUCGGCAUUUGUCACCCCAUUUGGCCUAUACCAGUUUAAGGUUAUGCCAUUUGGGAUGAAGAAUGCCCCCGCUACGUUCCAAAGGAUGGCUGACCGGCUCCUAGAGGGAUUUCAGGGCUUUGCUUGUGCUUACCUGAAUGAUAUAGCUAUCUUCAGUGGCACUUGGGAAGCCCACCUGGAACACAUCUCAGUAGUGCUCACUUGAAUCCAGAAUGCAGGGCUCACUUUGAAGCCUGAGAAAUGCCACGUAGGCAUGGCUGA